ACUGUUCAGAGCCAUGAGAAAUGUUGGAGCAACGAGGGUGCCAAAUGACGAUGUGUUCGAAGAAGAAGACAUAAAACGAAUGUGUCGUGGGGCCCUUAAAAAUUACCUGCGGACACCGCACUUUGGACACCCCUGGUGUACAGGGUUACAGAAUAGGAAUGCUGAUGGGUCGCCAAAGGUGCCCCGAAAAAG